UACGUAGGGGGCGAGCGUUGUCCGGAUUCAUUGGGCGUAAAGAGCUCGUAGGCGGUUCAGUAAGUCGGGUGUGAAAUCUCCGUGCUCAACACGGAGCGGCCACCUGAUACUGCUGUUGACUCGAGUCCGGUAGGGGAGUGUGGAAUUCCCGGUGUAGCGGUGAAAUGCGCAGAUAUCGGGAGGAACACCAGUAGGGAAGGCGGCACUCUGGGCCGUGACUGACGCUGAGGAGCGAA
rnacentral:rRNA from 1 species